rnacentral:miRNA from 1 species
CAUGACAUGGCAACCUAUGUCAUCUGCCACCUCAUUUAUUUUAAUUACAUAAUUUGUUAUAUAAAUAAAAGAAUUUCGGUGUGAAAUUCUUUUAUUUAUAUAACAAAUUAUGUAAUUAAAAUAAAUGAGGUGGCAGAUGACAUAGGUUGCCAUGUCAUG